UCUGACACAGGUGCUGCAUGGCUGUCGUCAGCUCGUGUCGUGAGAUGUUGGGUUAAGUCCCGUAACGAGCGCAACCCUUGUCCUUAGUUACCAGCACGUUAUGGUGGGCGACUCUAAGGAGACUGCCGGUGACAAACCGGAGGAAGGUGGGGAGUGACGUCAAGUCAUCAUGGCCCUUACGGCCUGGGCUACACACGUGCUACAAUGGUCGGUACAAAGGGUUGCCAAGCCGCGAGGUGGAGCUAAUCCCAUAAAACCGAUCGUAGUCCGGAUCGCAGUCUGCAACUCGACUGCGUGAAGUCGGAAUCGCUAGUAAUCGUGAAUCAGAAUGUCACGGUGAAUACGUUCCCGGGCCUU
rnacentral:rRNA from 1 species